CUUUCCUGUGCUCAUCACGACAGCCUUACAAGGUCAUAAGGGCGAGGAGACAGAUCCCUGGUCACAGACGACCCAGCAAGGGUUUAGCACAAACCCUGGCACCACAGAGGACUCAUGCACACCUAUGGAAUUCAUGAAUAAGAGCAUAACAGGCUGCAAAAUAGCAAGAGCAAGAAUGAUGCCUUUCCCUGACAUCACUGACCGAUGAAGACAUAGAGACUCAAAGAAAUAGGGACUCACCUGUUCUGAG
ensembl:lncRNA